AGUAAAGGCCCAAAUCUCCUUCCCUUUUCCCUCGAACACGGCUGAAACAUCGGCCUAUCGAUUUCUCUCUCUCUCAAAUCUCAAACGUGUUUUUCAGAAUUCAAGACCGAGAGUCCAACUUUCAAAAUUUCGCCGCCGCGUCUGCUGCUUUUGCAAAUCUGGCAAGGUCGCCGCACAAUCGGUCGGCGCGACCCUGUCUGCUUCUCUCUUACGCCUUCACCUCUCGAGUGAAUCCCUCAGAAAUCACACCAACAAGAGCCCUAAUUUCUCCCAUCAUAAAUCGCCGCCGCCGUUGAAGAACUGGGAUCCGGCGAACGUCGGCUGGCUCUCCGUCAACCAUCUUCUCUGCCUUUCUAUGUCUAUCCUCUCAAUUACAUAUGCUCGAGGAGAAAGGGCGAGCCCUAAUUUCUCCUCCACCAGAAAUCGUCACCGCCGCCGUCACUGAGAGACCAGCGAGCGGGGCCGCUGCUGCCGCCGUUGCUAGAUAUUCGGCGUAUCGGAGCAGUCACUCAUAGCCUCCAUCGACCCGUGUUGCUUUUCAACACCAUCUCUGUUCUCUGCCCAAACCUCUCAAGGGCUAUCGGAGGAAGGCUCCUCCACCUUGACGAACAGGGCAGCCUGCCUCCGCCUGAUCUCGCUUACCUCAUAGACAAAGGUUCGGCCCUAACUCUUAGUAUAUAAUCGUGAAGAAGCAAGCUAUGAUUUCUAGUUCGGUGCGAAAGUAAAUCUCUUGGAAACUAGUAUUCUAUGAAUCUCAUAAAUGCUAUUGCAGUAUUGGGUGUUUGUGUUCAAGAGUCAAUCUGCUAAACUGAACUUAAGGCACUUGUCUCACAUAAAAAAAUUCUAGUGUCAUGCCAUUCACUUCAUGCUUUACUCUAAAUAUUUAAAUCUGAAGAUAUGCUUAUUGGUGUGAAUCAUGUAGCAUGAAGAGUAACUGAGAUAGUAUAUACCUUGACGAACAGGGCAGCCUGCCUCCGCCUGAUCUCGCUUACCUCAUAGACAAAGGUUCGGCCCUAACUCUUAGUAUAUAAUCGUGAAGAAGCAAGCUAUGAUUUCUAGUUCGGUGCGAAAGUAAAUCUCUUGGAAACUAGUAUUCUAUGAAUCUCAUAAAUGCUAUUGCAGUAUUGGGUGUUUGUGUUCAAGAGUCAAUCUGCUAAACUGAACUUAAGGCACUUGUCUCACAUAAAAAAAUUCUAGUGUCAUGCCAUUCACUUCAUGCUUUACUCUAAAUAUUUAAAUCUGAAGAUAUGCUUAUUGGUGUGAAUCAUGUAGCAUGAAGAGUAACUGAGAUAGUAUAUACCUUGACGAACAGGGCAGCCUGCCUCCGCCUGAUCUCGCUUACCUCAUAGACAAAGGUUCGGCCCUAACUCUUAGUAUAUAAUCGUGAAGAAGCAAGCUAUGAUUUCUAGUUCGGUGCGAAAGUAAAUCUCUUGGAAACUAGUAUUCUAUGAAUCUCAUAAAUGCUAUUGCAGUAUUGGGUGUUUGUGUUCAAGAGUCAAUCUGCUAAACUGAACUUAAGGCACUUGUCUCACAUAAAAAAAUUCUAGUGUCAUGCCAUUCACUUCAUGCUUUACUCUAAAUAUUUAAAUCUGAAGAUAUGCUUAUUGGUGUGAAUCAUGUAGCAUGAAGAGUAACUGAGAUAGUAUAUACCUUGACGAACAGGGCAGCCUGCCUCCGCCUGAUCUCGCUUACCUCAUAGACAAAGGUUCGGCCCUAACUCUUAGUAUAUAAUCGUGAAGAAGCAAGCUAUGAUUUCUAGUUCGGUGCGAAAGUAAAUCUCUUGGAAACUAGUAUUCUAUGAAUCUCAUAAAUGCUAUUGCAGUAUUGGGUGUUUGUGUUCAAGAGUCAAUCUGCUAAACUGAACUUAAGGCACUUGUCUCACAUAAAAAAAUUCUAGUGUCAUGCCAUUCACUUCAUGCUUUACUCUAAAUAUUUAAAUCUGAAGAUAUGCUUAUUGGUGUGAAUCAUGUAGCAUGAAGAGUAACUGAGAUAGUAUAUACCUUGACGAACAGGGCAGCCUGCCUCCGCCUGAUCUCGCUUACCUCAUAGACAAAGCAUGAAGAGUAACUGAGAUAGUAUAUACCUUGCAUGAGUUUGUGUUGGUGGCUGCUGUUAUUGAUGUGUAGGAGGUAAACUAUCCGAAACUUGGCAGCUGGAAAAUCGGUUCACUCCCUUGAUUGCUGGUGAACAAAGACUGAAUAAGGGAGUUUGUUGGAUGGCUGACUUAUUGAAGGAGAGAGUUAGCUAAAUGGGAGUAUCUACUCUUCUAUGACAUGCUUAAAAGAUGGGCAGCAGGUGUAGGGUGGUUGACUGAGGAGAUGGCUGUCAUAGGGUGGCUGAUUGACACCCUAAGCGUGCCUUGGCAUGUUUUAAGGGAUGGGGGAGUGGCUUGGUGCAGAUGGAGGUGAAGGCUGCUGUUGCAGCUAUUCUGCACACAUGGCACACAUUUCUUUUUCUUUCUUUUCCUCUCUUUUGUUAGCAGGUAGUGAGUAGGAAAUUGGAAGUGAGUGAUGAUUGUAUUAGCUAUGUAGUAGGAGUAAAAGUUGUAUUGUAACUAGGAACAAAUCCUUAUGUCCUGUAUUUUUCUUUGUGCAUCUGUAAUAUUAACUCCGAGUUUUGAUAUCAUCGUGUAUCUCUAAAUCCAAUUCGAGUUAUGCUAAUAUCG